rnacentral:rRNA from 1 species
CAUGCAAGUCGAGGGGCAGCAUGGUCUUAGCUUGCUAAGGCCGAUGGCGACCGGCGCACGGGUGAGUAACACGUAUCCAACCUGCCGUCUACUCUUGGACAGCCUUCUGAAAGGAAGAUUAAUACAAGAUGGCAUCAUGAGUCCGCAUGUUCACAUGAUUAAAGGUAUUCCGGUAGACGAUGGGGAUGCGUUCCAUUAGAUAGUAGGCGGGGUAACGGCCCACCUAGUCUUCGAUGGGUAGGGGUUCUGAGAGGAAGGUCCCCCACAUUGGAACUGAGACACGGUCCAAACUCCUACGGGAGGCAGCAGUGAGGAAUAUUGGUCAAUGGGCGCAGGCCUGAACCAGCCAAGUAGCGUGAAGGAUGACUGCCCUAUGGGUUGUAAACUUCUUUUAUAAAGGAAUAAAGUCGGGUAUGUAUACCCGUUUGCAUGUACUUUAUGAAUAAGGAUCGGCUAACUCCGUGCCAGCAGCCGCGGUAAUACGGAGGAUCCGAGCGUUAUCCGGAUUUAUUGGGUUUAAAGGGAGCGUAGAUGGAUGUUUAAGUCAGUUGUGAAAGUUUGCGGCUCAACCGUAAUAUUGCAGUUGAUACUGGAUAUCUUGAGUGCAGUUGAGGCAG